rnacentral:rRNA from 1 species
GGCUCAGAUUGAACGCUGGCGGCAUGCCUUACACAUGCAAGUCGAACGGUAACAGGUCUUCGGAUGCUGACGAGUGGCGAACGGGUGAGUAAUACAUCGGAACGUGCCCGAUCGUGGGGGAUAACGGAGCGAAAGCUUUGCUAAUACCGCAUACGAUCUACGGAUGAAAGCAGGGGACCGCAAGGCCUUGCGCGGACGGAGCGGCCGAUGGCAGAUUAGGUAGUUGGUGGGAUAAAAGCUUACCAAGCCGACGAUCUGUAGCUGGUCUGAGAGGACGACCAGCCACACUGGGACUGAGACACGGCCCAGACUCCUACGGGAGGCAGCAGUGGGGAAUUUUGGACAAUGGGCGAAAGCCUGAUCCAGCCAUGCCGCGUGCAGGAUGAAGGCCUUCGGGUUGUAAACUGCUUUUGUACGGAACGAAAAGACUCCUUCUAAUAAAGGGGGUCCAUGACGGUACCGUAAGAAUAAGCACCGGCUAACUACGUGCCAGCAGCCGCGGUAAUACGUAGGGUGCAAGCGUUAAUCGGAAUUACUGGGCGUAAAGCGUGCGCAGGCGGUUAUAUAAGACAGAUGUGAAAUCCCCGGGCUCAACCUGGGAACUGCAUUUGUGACUGUAUAGCUAGAGUACGGUAGAGGGGGAUGGAAUUCCGCGUGUAGCAGUGAAAUGCGUAGAUAUGCGGANGAACACCGAUGGCGAAGGCAAUCCCCUGGANCUGUACUGACGCUCAUGCACGAAAGCGUGG